UGGGGAAUAUUGCACAAUGGGGGAAACCCUGAUGCAGCGACGCCGCGUGAGCGAAGAAGGCUUUCGAGUCGUAAAGCUCUGUCCUAUGAGAAGAUAAUGACGGUAUCAUAGGAGGAAGCCCUGGCUAAAUACGUGCCAGCAGCCGCGGUAAUACGUAUGGGGCGAGCGUUGUCCGGAAUUAUUGGGCGUAAAGGGUACGUAGGCGGUUUUUUAAGUCAGGUGUCAAAGCGUGGAGCUUAACUCCAUUAAGCACUUGAAACUGAAAGACUUGAGUGAAGGAGAGGAAAGUGGAAUUCCUAGUGUAGCGGUGAAAUGCGUAGAUAUUAGGAGGAAUACCGGUGGCGAAGGCGACUUUCUGGACUUUUACUGACCCUCAGGUACGAAAGCGUGGGGAGCAAACAGG
rnacentral:rRNA from 1 species